GGCUUCGUGGUGUAAAGCAUGUUGGAUUGCAAAUCCAAAGGGGUAGAUUAACGCCUACCGGGGCCU
rnacentral:tRNA from 1 species